GAUCAUUUCGUUUUAUGUUCCUCUGCUGGCGGGUUAGUUAAUAGUCCGUGUGAAUGGACGUGCGGGUACGAGGGUGACACUCAACACAUCGUCUCGCUUCUAGAAAAAAAACUUCCUGCGUGCUAUCUUGGACUCAAAAUGAAUCUGAUUCAAUUCAACGACUGAUCUUUGUUCACACUCAUUUUUUUAGCCAACCUCAUCAGACAAAACGUCAAGAGAUACCGACCAAACCACCAAGACAAAUAGCACACGAAAUUCACCGAAAGGUUAUUUUAGCAACUCAUCAUUUUCACCAGCUUCACAUUCAGCUCUUUUCACCAGCGUCGUCAGACAAAACGUCAAGAGAUACCGACCAAACCAACCAAGACAAUUAUUAGCAGACGACUUCGCCGAAAGGUUAUUUUACGCGGCAAAAACAUUAUUUGAACUGGAACUUUAAAGGAAGAUAUCAGUAACAAUACAACGAUGGAAGUAAAAGUCCAGUGUGUUCUAACAGUUAUGUGUGUUACAGUCUGUCUAGCGGCAUUCAUACGUGCAAGUUCUGCGGACGCAAUCUGUCAACCAGACGAGUUCUGCCUCGGUAGACGCUACAGAAACACCGUCCAGACGUGCGUCUGCCCCGACGAGGUUCACGAACUGGACGGUCUUUUAGUCGCCAUUCCAACCAAAUGCCAAUACGACUCUCGCCAACGUCACUUCCUGUGUAGGCCAAAGGUCAAAUAUGAAGGUAUUGACGAACAUGGCCGGUAGGCAUCAUAUGGAUUUCCUGGUAGUUUCAUCACGAGACUCUUCAAUGGUUUCACUAACAAGAGGCGGUAAUACCAGUGAUUUCAUAGGAAAUAGAAUAAAUUAACAGACUUUCUAUAAAUAAAAAAAACCCAACCACGAUCGAUUUGUGAACAGACAAUAAUUUUAAUGGACGCCCACGGAAAGUUGAUCCAAUAACGCCAGCCAUCCUCAGCAACAACAGCGGAACAACCGUCAACGAAACAACCGUCAACGACAGUCAAGGAGGGGAAUGUGCGUAGUGAGUACUGUAUAUCCCCUUCCUGUGGACGGCCAUUUUGUUUCAUUCGGCCUGCCUGCCCAAUUUCACGGCGCUUCUUAAUGGUAAGCACAUUUUCGUGCUUACUUUAGCAGAAGCAAACAAAAUAAUUAGAAAGUACGAAUUGUGACGUCAUUCAUUUCCGUGCAGUAAGCACCGGAAGGUUAGCAUGCCUUUUCGUGUGCUUACGACUAGCAUCGCCAUACAGUGAGCACAACAUCGGCCGUUAAUUAAGCAGAUGAAUAUGGGCCAUUGUCAUCGUGUCAAGUUCAAAAUCAUCUUUUUUGAUUUUUUGUUUGUUUAAAUAUUUCCCAGCUGUACUUAAAC